AGUGAACGCUGGCGGUAGGCCUAACACAUGCGAGUCGAACGGCAGCACAGUAAGAGCUUGCUCUUACGGGUGGCGAGUGGCGGACGGGUGAGGAAUACAUCGGAAUCUACUUUUUCGUGGGGGAUAACGUAGGGAAACUUACGCUAAUACCGCAUACGACCUACGGGUGAAAUCAGGGGAUCUUCGGACCUUGCGCGAUUGAAUGAGCCGAUGUCGGAUUAGCUAGUUGGCGGGGUAAAGGCCCACCAAGGCGACGAUCCGUAGCUGGUCUGAGAGGAUGAUCAGCCACACUGGAACUGAGACACGGUCCAGACUCCUACGGGAGGCAGCAGUGGGGAAUAUUGGACAAUGGGCGCAAGCCUGAUCCAGCCAUACCGCGUGGGUGAAGAAGGCCUUCGGGUUGUAAAGCCCUUUUGUUGGGAAAGAAAAGCAGCAGGUUAAUACCCCGCUGUUCUGACGGUACCCAAAGAAUAAGCACCGGCUAACUUCGUG
rnacentral:rRNA from 1 species